UACGUAGGGGGCUAGCGUUAUCCGGAAUCACUGGGCGUAAAGGGCGCGUAGGCGGUCUGUUAAGUCUGGCGUUAAAGCCUGGGGCUCAACCGGGGAGGGUCGUCGUGAACGGGUGAGCUUGAGGGUAUCAGGGGCUGGUGGAAUUCCCGGUGUAGUGGUGAAAUGCGUAGAGAUCGGGAGGAACACCUGUGGCGAAGGCGGCCAGCUGGGAUACACCUGACACUGAGGCGCGAAGGCGUGGGGAGCGAACGGGAUUAGAUACCCCUGUAGUCCCUGAGCGGGCUGG
rnacentral:rRNA from 1 species